rnacentral:rRNA from 1 species
CCACGGGAGGCUGCAGUGGGGAAUAUUGCACAAUGGGCGCAAGCCUGAUGCAGCCAUGCCGCGUGUGUGAAGAAGGCCUUCGGGUUGUAAAGCACUUUCAGCGGGGAGGAAGGCGUUAAGGUUAAUAACCUUGUCGAUUGACGUUACCCGCAGAAGAAGCACCGGCUAACUCCGUGCCAGCAGCCGCGGUAAUACGGAGGGUGCAAGCGUUAAUCGGAAUUACUGGGCGUAAAGCGCACGCAGGCGGUCUGUCAAGUCGGAUGUGAAAUCCCCGGGCUCAACCUGGGAACUGCAUUCGAAACUGGCAGGAUAGAGUCUUGUAGAGGGGGGUAGAAUUCCAGGUGUAGCGGUGAAAUGCGUAGAGAUCUGGAGGAAUACCGGUGGCGAAGGCGGCCCCCUGGACAAAGACUGACGCUCAGGUGCGAAAGCGUGGGGAGCAAACAGGAUUAGAUACCCGUGUAGUC